UACGUAGGUGGCAAGCGUUGUCCGGAUUUACUGGGCGUAAAGAGCGCGCAGGCGGUCGGAUAAGUCGAAUGUGAAAGCCCCUGGCUCAACCAGGGAGGGUCAUUCGAUACUGUUCGACUCGAAGGCAGGAGAGGGAAGUGGAAUUCCGGGUGUAGUGGUGAAAUGCGUAGAUAUCCGGAGGAACACCAGUGGCGAAGGCGACUUUCUGGCCUGCACUGACGCUCAUGCACGAAAGCGUGGGGAGCAAACAGG
rnacentral:rRNA from 1 species